rnacentral:rRNA from 1 species
GUGCCAGCAGCCGCGGUAAUACAGGGGGUGCAAACGUUGCUCGGAAUCACUGGGCAUAAAGCGCACGUAGGCUGUCUACUAAGUCAGGUGUGAAAGCCCCCGGCUCAACCGGGGAACAGCACCUGAUACUGGUUGACUCGAGAAUGGUAGGGGUGAGUGGAACUCCAGGUGGAGCGGUGAAAUGCGUAGAUAUCUGGAGGAACACCGGUGGCGAAAGCGGCUCACUGGACCAUUUCUGACGCUGAGGUGCGAAAGCUAGGGGAGCAAACGGGAUUAGAUACCCCAGUAGUCC